UACGUAGGGGGCAAGCGUUGUCCGGAUUUAUUGGGCGUAAAGAGCGUGUAGGCGGCCAGACAGGUCCGUUGUGAAAACUUGAGGCUCAACCUCGAGACGCCGAUGGAAACCGUCUGGCUAGAGUCCGGAAGAGGAGAGUGGAAUUCCUGGUGUAGCGGUGAAAUGCGCAGAUAUCAGGAAGAACACCCGUGGCUAAGGCGGCUCUCUAGUACGGUACUGACGCUGAGGCGCGAAAGCGUGGGGAGCGAACAGG
rnacentral:rRNA from 1 species